GACUCUCGGCAACGGAUAUCUCGGCUCUCGCAUCGAUGAAGAACGUAGCGAAAUGCGAUACUUGGUGUGAAUUGCAGAAUCCCGUGAACCAUCGAGUCUUUGAACGCAAGUUGCGCCCGAAGCCGUUAGGCCGAGGGCACGCCUGCCUGGGUGUCGCACAUCGUUGCC
rnacentral:rRNA from 1 species